AUCUAAAUGAAAAGACAGAGGACUCAAAGGACACGGCAGAAAAUGAGACAUGAAGUUUACAGAGAACAAGAAAGACGUCAAUGAAGAAAGUUUGGAGAAGUUUCGGGUGGAAUUUGAAUCUGGCAUGAACGGCUGGAAUAGUUCCUGUAUCAAAUGAAGGCCCGCCUUCUGAUAUACGAAAUUCUGACUUUGCUACGACAAUCUGGUGCUUCUGAAUCAGCUACUGCUUUCCAUGCACCAGUAACCCUGCAGACUGAGUCGUCAUCCCACCAGCCCUGCUAUCGGCCCAUCACUGUGAUCCUCUGGCUCCACGACUACUGUGGCCACUGACAGUGCGGUUUUUUGUAGAUGAGGUUUCUGCUAUUGAAAUAGGCCUGCAUUGAUUUUCAAAGGCAAAAUACUUGUGAUCCUAGAGUGUUAC
ensembl:lncRNA